AAGUCGUAACAAGGUUUCCGUAGGUGAACCUGCGGAAGGAUCAUUAACACGUAUCCACGUAUCAACCAACUGUGAACCUGUUCUCACCUUCGCCCCUGCGCCUGAGGAUGAAUUGGCAAUCGAAUUGGAGAGUCAUGAAAUGUGGGGAGUCGCAACCUUUCGUUAGGCCGACUCGCUCUCCUUCGAUCACCUGGAAGCAAUUCCUAACAAUUGUACUUCAAGCGUCAGGCAAACCCUUUCUGCUCUAUUUAGCUUCUCCCUUUCAUCGGGCUAAGAGCGGAAUAUUCCAUUCACACCUUUCACCCCCUUUUUGCUAGUUGACUUUUAUAUGUUGUCUGAUUCAUCUUCAUUGAUGAGCCAUUCACACGUUUAUUACUUGAACGUUAAAAUUACAACUCUUAGCAAUGGAUAUCUUGGUUCUC
rnacentral:misc_RNA from 1 species